rnacentral:rRNA from 1 species
AGAGUUUGAUCAUGGCUCAGGAUGAACGCUAGCGGCAGGCUUAAUACAUGCAAGUCGAGGGGCAGCGGGAGUAGCAAUACUUGCCGGCGACCGGCGCACGGGUGCGUAACACGUAUAUAAUCUACCUGAAACUGGAGGAUAGCCCGAAGAAAUUCGGAUUAAUACUCCAUAACAUUGCGAGAUGGCAUCAUUUUGCAAUUAAAGCUCCGGCGGUUUCGGAUGAGUAUGCGUUCGAUUAGCUAGUUGGUGAGGUAACGGCUCACCAAGGCGACGAUCGAUAGGGGGACUGAGAGGUUACACCCCCACACUGGUACUGAGACACGGACCAGACUCCUACGGGAGGCAGCAGUAAGGAAUAUUGGACAAUGGUCGCAAGACUGAUCCAGCCAUGCCGCGUGCAGGAUGACUGCCCUAUGGGUUGUAAACUGCUUUUGUACGGGAAUAAACCCUUCUACGUGUAGAAGGCUGAAUGUACCGUAAGAAUAAGGAUCGGCUAACUUCGUGCCAGCAGCCGCGGUAAGACGAAGGAUCCAAGCGUUAUCCGGAUUUAUUGGGUUUAAAGGGUGCGUAGGCGGAUUGAUAAGUCAGUGGUGAAAGCCUGUUGCUUACCAACAGAACUGCCAUUGAUACUGUCAAUCUUGAAUAUGUUUGAUGUGGGCGGAAUAUGACAUGUAGCGGUGAAAUGCUUAGAUAUGUCAUAGAACACCGAUUGCGAAGGCAGCUCACAAAGCCAUUAUUGACGCUGAGGCACGAAAGCGUGGGGAUCAAACAGGAUUAGAUACCCUGGUAGUCCACGCUGUAAACUUUGAUCACUCGCUGUUGGCGAUACACUGUCAGCGGCUAAGCGAAAGCGUUAAGUGAUCCACCUGGGGGAGUACGAUCGCAAGAUUGAAACUCAAAGGAAUUGACGGGGGCCCGCACAAGCGGUGGAGCAUGUGGUUUAAUUCGAUGAUACGCGAGGAACCUUACCAGGGCUUGAAAGUUAGCGACUAUAGGUGAAAGCUUAUU